GACGAACGCUGGCGGCGUGCUUAACACAUGCAAGUCGAACGGAAAGGCCCUGCUUGUGUGGGGUGCUCGAGUGGCGAACGGGUGAGUAACACGUGAGUAACCUGCCCUUGACUUUGGGAUAACUUCAGGAAACUGGUGCUAAUACCGGAGAGGAGCUCCUUCUGCAUGGUGGGGGUUGGAAAGUUUCGGCGGUUGGGGAUGGACUCGCGGCUUAUGAGCUUGUUGGUUGGGUAGUGGCCUACCAAGGCUUUGCCGGGUAGCCGGCCUGAGAGGGUGACCGGCCACAUGGGGCCUAGGAUACGGCCCAGACUCCAACGGGAGGCAGCAGUGGGAAGUAUGGCACAAUGGGGGGAAGCCUGUGGAGGCAAGGCCGGGUGCGGGAUGCCGGCUUUCGGGUGGUAAACCGCUUUCGCCUGGGACGAAGCGUGAGUGACGGUACCGAGAAAAGAAGCACCGGCUAACUACGUG
rnacentral:rRNA from 1 species